rnacentral:rRNA from 1 species
GCUCAGUAACACGUGGAGAACGUGCCCUUAAGUGGAGGAUAAUCUCGGGAAAUUGAGGAUAAUACUCCAUAGAUCAUGAGAUCUGGAAUGACUCAUGGUUCAAAGUUCCGGCGCUUAAGGAUCGCUCUGCGGCCUAUCAGGUAGUAGUGGGUGUAAAGUACCCCCUAGCCUACGACGGGUAUGGGCCUUGAGAGAGGGAGCCCAGAGUUGGAUUCUGAGACACGAAUCCAGGCCCUACGGGGCGCAGCAGUCGCGAAAACUUCACACUGGGGGGAACCCCGAUGAGGGAAAUCCUAGUGCUAGGACAUUUGUUCUAGCUUUUCUCAAGCGUAGAUAACUUGAGGAAUAAGGGCUGGGUAAGACGGGUGCCAGCCGCCGCGGUAAUACCUGCAGCCCAAGUGGUGGUCGAUUUUAUUGAGUCUAAAACGUUCGUAGCCGGUCCGGUAAAUCCCUGGGUAAAUCGGGAAGCUCAACUUCCCGAAUUCCGGGGAGACUGCCGGACUUGGGACCGGGAGAGGCUAGAGGUACUUCUGGGGUAGGGGUAAAAUCCUGUAAUCCUUGGAGGACCACCGGUGGCGAAGGCGUCUUACUAGAACGAAUCCGACGGUGAGGGACGAAGCCCUAGGUCGCAAACGGGAUUAGAUACCCCGGUAGUCCAGGGUGUAAACGCUGCAGACUUGGUGUUGGAGGCCCUUCGGGGGCAUUCAGUGCCGGAGAGAAGUUGUUAAGUCUGCUACUUGGGGAGUACGUCCGCAAGGAUGAAACUUAAAGGAAUUGGCGGGGGAGCAC